AGAAGAAAGGGGACUCUGUCUCGUCUGCUGGUGUAUUCCCUAGAAUUGUGUCUGCCCCAGACAGCUCAGUAGAUAGUUCCAGUUUCACAAGAGGCCUGAGGGGGAAGGAGCUAAUGCAAGUCACACAGUGAAUGAAUGAGGAAACCAAAACACAGAGAGGUUAUGCACCUUGCUCCAGCCCCGCCGCCCACCUGGUAUCUCCUGGGAGAAAGGAGGUGGCUCAGGUUGUCCCUGGGCCUCCACCCCUACACAGGACCUCUUCCCCUUCAUCCCUGUGGAUUUUUUUCUCCGUCGGGGCCCGUGGUUCUUGGUCACGAAGCUUUGAAGAAUGAAGAGGUAGACCGGACAGAGGGGUAGGCAGCGAAGCAAGGUGUAUGGGGCGAUAGCAAAGUGAUAACACAAAGGUCCCAAGGAGGGAGGGGACCCGAGGGGGCUGUCACGGAGUUUCUAUGUCUAGGGGAUUUUAUGGGCUUGUUGGCUGGCUGUUUUCAUCUGAUGAACCCUCCCUGUGCCUGUCACCCAAUCAGGUUUUUGUCACCUAUCUAUCACAUGGGAAAGGGUGGAGGGCUCCUUCCAGGGCGGUGUAAAAUCCUUUUAAGGGUGUUUCCCUCUUAGGGUGGGGGUGUCCCUGCCUGCCUGCCUUCCAAGUAUCCUUCAUCAGUAGUUUCACUGCCUUAAAAAUCCUCUGAGCUCUGCCUGUUCAUCUCAUCUUCCUCCCUACCCCCUGGGAGCCACUUGUUUACUUUUAAAAAAUCCACUCCUACCCCAACUUCUAGAGAUAACCCUGACAGCCACGGAUCCCUGGGCCUGAGUGGGGAGGCCCGUAAUGUGGGCUGGGCGCCUCUUAGCUGUCCUCGUCGUUGCUGGCUCAGGACUCAGAUUCUUUUGCCAUCCUUUCUCCAACCUCCAAAACUUGCUGUUCUCUUCUGCCUUGUUCUAUUUGUUUCUAAAAGUCCACACCUUUUAAAAAAAGAAAAAAAGUCCCUCUACUAUAGUUUAGCAGGGCUUUGGGUGGGCUCGAAGGGAAAUGCUUGAGCUCCAUCUGCCACCUUUAAUUACAAGUCGCUCCCACUGGAUUUUCGGUUGUUACCUCAAAUUCAACCCAACCCCCACCAAUCCCUCACCUUCCACCCGGAUAAACUCCUCGUUCAUCUCUCCUGACUUCCGCCCGUGCUUCUGCGACUCUCUCCUACCCAAGGGGGAAGCCCCAGGGACCCCUUUGCACUUUUGUCUCCUGCCACCUGUCUGCAGAGCAUCUCACCUUCUUCCUACUUCCUGCCUGGCGGCCUUCCCCUUUCCUUCCCUCCCUCUUCCCGGCCACCACCCUGAUCUGCCUUCUCACACCCAGGCCUGAAUAAAACAAGCAAAACCAAACAAAAGAAUCUGCCAUGGUCUUGCCACUCCCUGCUCAAACUUAUUUUGUCUAGAAUAAAAAGUCCAAAUUUCUGAGUUGGGCAGGUAAGUUUCCACAAUCGGACUCCAAUCUGGCCUCUCCGGGCCUAAUUCUCCCGCCACUUGCCGGCGUGGUCACUCGGAACACACUGACCCCCUCCUUGGACUCUCCUCGCUCUGGCCUGUGUGCCUCUCAAGCCGCAGCUGAAAUGGCAGCCUCCGUGUGACGCACAGCUCCCCGCUACCCCAGGGAAGUCGUGUAUGCCCUUCCUGGGUUCCCAAACUCCAAAAGAGUGUUGUAUCUGCUUACGGAUCUGCCUCUCUUUGGGUUUUUUGAGGGGAGGGACUGUGUCUUGGUCAUCUUGUGCUUCCAGGGCCUAGCUUGGUGCCUUGUGUGUAGUAAGUUCUCA